CGAGUUUGAUCCUGGCUCAGAUUGAACGCUGGCGGCAGGCCUAACACAUGCAAGUCGAACGGUAACAUUUCUAGCUUGCUAGAAGGUGACGAGUGGCGGACGGGUGAGUAAUGCUUGGGAACUUGCCUUCGCGAGGGGGAUAACAGUUGGAAACGACUGCUAAUACCGCAUAAUGUCUUCGGACCAAACGGGGCUUCGGCUCCGGCGCAAAGAGAGGCCCAAGUGAGAUUAGCUAGUUGGUAAGGUAACGGCUUACCAAGGCGACGAUCUCUAGCUGUUCUGAGAGGAAGAUCAGCCACACUGGGACUGAGACACGGCCCAGACUCCUACGGGAGGCAGCAGUGGGGAAUAUUGCACAAUGGGGGAAACCCUGAUGCAGCCAUGCCGCGUGUGUGAAGAAGGCCUUCGGGUUGUAAAGCACUUUCAGUUGUGAGGAAAAGUUAGUAGUUAAUACCUGCUAACCGUGACGUUAACAACAGAAGAAGCACCGGCUAACUCCGUGCCAGCAGCCGCGGUAAUACGGAGGGUGCGAGCGUUAAUCGGAAUUACUGGGCGUAAAGCGCACGCAGGCGGUUUGUUAAGCUGGAUGUGAAAGCCCCGGGCUCAACCUGGGAUGGUCAUUUAGAACUGGCAGACUAGAGUCUUGGAGAGGGGAGUGGAAUUCCAGGUGUAGCGGUGAAAUGCGUAGAUAUCUGGAGGAACAUCAGUGGCGAAGGCGACUCCCUGGCCAAAGACUGACGCUCAUGUGCGAAAGUGUGGGUAGCGAACAGGAUU
rnacentral:rRNA from 1 species